AGCAGCCGCGGUAAUUCCAGCUCCAAUAGCGUAUAUUAAAGUUGUUGCAGUUAAAAAGCUCGUAGUUGAAUUUCGGGGUCAGCAGGUCGGUCGUGCCACUGGUAUGUACUGGUCUUGCUGACUCCUCCCUCUUGACGAACCGUAAUGCCAUUAAUUUGGUGUUGCGGGAAAUCAGGACUGUUACUUUGAAAAAUUAGAGUGUUUAAAGCAGGCUUACGCUUGAAUACAUUAGCAUGGAAUAAUGAAAUAGGACGUUCGAUCCUAUUUUGUUGGUUUCUAGGAUUGACGUAAUGAUUAAUAGGGAUAGUUGGGGGCAUUAGUAUUCAAUUGUCAGAGGUGAAAUUCUUGGAUUUAUUGAAGACUAACUACUGCGAAAGC
rnacentral:rRNA from 1 species